AUAAUUUAACGGCCGCGGUAUACUGACCGUGCGAAGGUAGCAUAAUCACUUGUUCUUUAAAUGGGGACUAGUAUGAAUGGCACCACGAGGGCUUUACUGUCUCCUCUCUUCAAUCAGUGAAACUGACCUCCCUGUGAAGAGGCAGGGAUACUACUAUAAGACGAGAAGACCCCAUGGAGCUUUAAACCCAACAACAGCCCAAACACCUACCCCCUCAAAGUUUUUAAAGUUUUUGUUAGUUGGUUUUAGGUUGGGGUGACCGCGGAGUAUAAACCACCCUCCACGACGAAUGGGCCUACCCCCUUACCCAAGAAUUACACCUCUAAGGAUUAACACAUUAACGUAAAAUGAUCCAAAUAUUUUGAUCAACGAACCAAGUUACCCUGGGGAUAACAGCGCAAUCCAUUUUUUAGAGCCCCUAUCGACAAAUGGGUUUACGACCUCGAUGUUGGAUCAGGGUAUCCCGGAGGUGCAGCCGCUUCCAAUGGUUUGUUUGUUCAACGAAUUAAAACCCUACGU
rnacentral:rRNA from 1 species